rnacentral:tRNA from 3 species
GCGGACGUGGCGAAAUUGGUAGACGCACCAGAUUUAGGUUCUGGCGUCGAGAGGUGUGAGAGUUCGAGUCUCUCCGUCCGCACCA